rnacentral:rRNA from 1 species
GAUCGCGAAUUCCGGUCCUCCCGCAAGGGUUGUGUACUAAGCUUUUGCGGUCAUCCUCGAGGAGAAUGUGUCGGGCAUUCAGUUGUUUGGCACAGGACCCUCGUCAUUUACUGUGAGCAAAAUAGGGUGUUCAAAGCAGGCUUAUGCCGUUGAAUAUCUUAGCAUGGAAUAAUAAGAUAAGACCUUGGUCUAUUUUGUUGGUUUGCUGUCCAAGGUA